GCUAGAGUCUUGUAGAGGGGGGUAGAAUUCCAGGUGUAGCGGUGAAAUGCGUAGAGAUCUGGAGGAAUACCGGUGGCGAAGGCGGCCCCCUGGACAAAGACUGCCGCUCAGGUGCGAAAGCGUGGGGAGCAAACAGGAUUAGAUACCCUGGUAGUCCACGCCGUAAACGAUGUCGAUUUGGAGGUUGUGCCCUUGAGGCGUGGCUUCCGGAGCUAACGCGGUAAAUCGACCGCCUGGGGAGUACGGCCGCAAGGUUAAAACUCAAAUGAAUUGACGGGGGCCCGCACAAGCGGUGGAGCAUGUGGUUUAAUUCGAUGCAACGCGAAGAACCUUACC
rnacentral:rRNA from 1 species